CGCUACGAAACACUUUGCAAGAUGGCAUAUUUCUUUUCUCCCUCAGCCUGGAUUACUUCUUAGUGUUCCUAAUUCUGCUGGCAGGAGUCCUGUUGAAUUCAGGAAAACCAUAUGAAACCCAUCCUGGGCGUUGCCAAAAUAAAUUGUUAAUCAUAUCAGAUGUAGCACCAAAGAGUGUUCCAUCAUAGUCAAUUUUCUGUUUUGUAACUGUCCCCUUGGCUUCAUUCAGGAUCUGCCAAGAGGAAAGGAAGCCCAUAUUGUACAUGCCACAUCUCAUUAUCCACUGGAGGAGAGAGGACGGUGGGGAAUGCUCAUGGGGUCAAGUUACCUAGUGAACAGCUUCAAAUAAGGGCCGUGGUUUCUGUCUCCUGAUAAGACCCUGACUGAGCAGCCUCCCCUGUAAACCGAGAGGCAGCAUGGAAUCAUGGGAAACGGCCUGAGUUUCGGGGUCACCCGGAUUUGAAGUCCAGCUCUUGUAAUCUGCCAGCUCUUGGACCUGGAACAGUAAUGGAUUUUUACCUGGACACACGGCAGCCUGAAAUAAAGACUACACAUUUGAGUAUCCCCGCAGCUAGUUGUUUCAUUUGACUAAAUCCUGGCCGAG
rnacentral:lncRNA from 1 species